GACGAACGCUGGCGGCGUGCUUAACACAUGCAAGUCGAACGGUGAAGCGCCUUCCUUUUUGGUGGGUGUGGAUGAGUGGCGAACGGGUGAGUAACACGUGAGUAACCUGCCCCCUUCUUCUGGAUAACCGCAUGAAAGUGUGGCUAAUACGGGAUAUUCUGGGUCUGUCGCAUGAUGGGUCUGGGAAAGAUAUUGUUUCGGUGGGGGAUGGGCUCGCGGCCUAUCAGCUUGUUGGUGGGGUGAUGGCCUACCAAGGCGGUGACGGGUAGCCGGCCUGAGAGGGUGGACGGUCACACUGGGAGUGAGACACGGCCCAGACUCCUACGGGGGGCAGCAGUGGGGAAUAUUGCACAAUGGGCGAAAGCCUGAUGCAGCGACGCCGCGUGAGGGAUGGAGGCCUUCGGGUUGUGAACCUCUUUCGCCAGUGAAGCAGGCCUGCCUCGUAUGUGGGUGGGUUGACGGUAGCUGGAUAAGAAGCGCCGGCUAACUACGUG
rnacentral:rRNA from 1 species